UACGUAGGGUGCAAGCGUUGUCCGGAAUUAUUGGGCGUAAAGAGCUUGUAGGCGGUUUGUCGCGUCUGCUGUGAAAUUUCGGGGCUCAACCCCGAACUUGCAGUGGGUACGGGCAGACUAGAGUGUGGUAGGGGAGACUGGAAUUCCUGGUGUAGCGGUGAAAUGCGCAGAUAUACGGAGGAACACCUGCGGCGAAGGCGGGUAGCUGGGCCAACACUGACGCUGAUGCGCGAAAGCUAGGGGAGCAAACGGG
rnacentral:rRNA from 1 species